rnacentral:rRNA from 1 species
GCGCCAUCCCACACCGGGGCCCCGGCCGAUCCAGGGGAUAGGGCUCCGCGCCUCUACAAGAUUGAUUUUCCCCUCUUUGACGGGGCCAGCGAUCCACGGCCGUGGCUGACACGUUGCAAUCACUUCUUCCUCGGACAGCGAACGCCAGAGUCGGAUAAGACUUGGCUCGCCUCAUACCACCUCACCGAUGUCGCCGCAUUAUGGUAUGGCCACCUCGAGACUAAGUUGGGCCAGCUGCCGUCCUGGACCGAGUUUCAAAAACUGAUCGCCAACCACUUCGGACCGCCGACCCGCGCCAACCCCUUUGGCGAGCUGAUCUCCACCCACCGCUCCGGCACCGUGGCAGAA